GCCGGGGCCGGGACCCGGCUGUGCGCGGGGCAGCGCCGCUGGCACGACAAGGGCGGUGCGGGGUCGGUUGGGGGGCGGUUCGCGGUUGGGGCCGGGGGCUCCCCGGCUCCCGCCGGGUGGUCCGAUGGGCCCCGCUGUCCGCCGGGACCAGGAGCGGAUCGAGGGAGCUCAGUUGCGUUUUCUCUCGUGUUUUGUGCUUCGUUUCAUCCCGCGCGUUUGACUAUCAGAUGUAACACGAUGUAAAAUUUCAUCCUCCUGGCUGUUAACGCGCUGAACAAGGCUUUACCUUCAGCUCAGAACAGGAAGGUCUGAAGUCUGCUGGCGUCAAUUUCAUCAAGAACACAGAACAUUUUCCAUUAUUUCUUUCCGUGUUUCUUCUCUGUUGGGAUAUUCUUAAGCUCCAGGAAAUUAUGCAAUCAAAAUGACUGUUUAACUCAGAAUUGUAACAACUUGGAAUUGCAACAGCCUUUGGAGUCAGCUUAUGCCUGAGUGCUGAAAUAGUUCCAUUCACUGUUAGAAUUUCUGUGUUUAAAGAAGAAAGCCUAUGAUGCAUCCCCUUAAAGCCAUGACUUAUGCUUCAGUCUUAUAAACAGAUGUGGAAAACCA